UCUUGGUCANUUAGAGGAAGUAAAAGUCAUAACAAGGUUUCCGUAGGUGAACCUGCGGAAGGAUCAUUAGAGAUGCCGAAAGGCUUUCCACACACCUGUGCACUCGGCGGACCCGUCCGCCUCACACACACAGCCGUCACGAACGUAACCUAUUGUAAUCAGAAACAACUUUCAACAACGGAUCUCUUGGCUCUCGCAUCGAUGAAGAACGCAGCGAAAUGCGAUAAGUAAUGUGAAUUGCAGAAUUCAGUGAAUCAUCGAAUCUUUGAACGCACCUUGCGCCUUUUGGUACUCCGAAAGGCAUGCCUGUUUGAGUGUCAUGUAGACUCAACCCCUCAGGUUUAUGACCUGGGGAGCGUUGGACUUGGGCUCUGCCUUCACCGGCUGGCCUCAAAUGUGUUAGCGGGAUCNGCACAGACGUUGUAAGCACUCGUCGACCGUGGCCUGCUCAUAAUCCCCACUACUUUGCACUCUGACCUCAAAUCAGGUAGGGCUACCCGCUGAACUUAAGCAUAUCA
rnacentral:rRNA from 1 species